GGGCGAUUAACUCAGCGGGAGAGUGCCACCUUCACAAGGUGGAAGUCACUGGUUCAAAUCCAGUAUCGCCCACCA
rnacentral:tRNA from 1 species